CACGUUCGGAUUGUAGUCUGCAACCCGACUACAUGAAGCCGGAAUCGCUAGUAAUCGCGGAUCAGAAUGCCGCGGUGAAUACGUUCCCGGGUCUUGUACACACCGCCCGUCACACCAUGGGAGUCGGGAAUGCCCGAAGUCAGUGACCCAACCUUAGGGAGGGAGCUGCCGAAGGCAGGCCUGGUGACUGGGGUGAAGUCGUAACAAGGUACC
rnacentral:rRNA from 1 species